GGAUCGUUAGCUCAGUUGGUCAGAGCGUCGCUCUAUUGGCUGCGAAGGUCGCGGGUUCGAUCCCCUCACGAUCCA